UGAAGGUUCACCUAUCAAUACGACAAUGACCCUAAGCACACAGGAGUGGCUUAGGAACAAUUCUAUGAAUGUCCUGUUGACAAAUAUUUACAGCGCCCGACUUGAACUGAAUAUCUUUGGAGAGACCUGAAAAGGGCUAUUGGUAAAAGGCUACUUGAAAGCAAAAGCAACUAAACAAGCUCACCGUGUCAUGUGAUGCCAUGGUGUUUACUGUUGCAUGGUUUCGAUCUCUCUUGAGUCACAUUAUUGUGUGUAGUCUAUGUGUGACUCUGAUGGCAGUGAUGAAGGACGUGCACUUGGGUUCAGGCAGCCGCUCAAUCCAAGUGCCCUCAGGCAAACUGUCUCCAAACGCAACAACAAGCUGACAUGAACGGUCAAGGACCCAUUGACUGAUAGACAUAUGGUGGAGGGACCUCCUACAUAUCAUGCAGAUUGUUUUUCUCAUAAAACUGAACCAACAAUAAUGUGUAGGGGUGGCCUAUAGUGCUAGUGAGCAGUCCUCCCUGCCGCACUCCAUAAUUAUUGACAGGUUUGAUGUGCUCAGUGAGUGGAAAGUAUGGGGAAAUUGGAAUUUCAG